UCGCUACUACCGAUUGAAUGGCUUAGUGAGCCUCAGGGAUUGUUGCACUUCGAGGGGUUUCUCUUGAGGAGCAGCCGAGAACUGAGUCAAACUUGAUCAUUUAGAGGAAGUAA
rnacentral:rRNA from 1 species